rnacentral:rRNA from 1 species
UACAGAGGGUGCUAGCGUUGUUCGGAAUCAUUGGGCGUAAAGGGCGUGUAGGCGGUUUGCUAAGUCAUGUGUGAAAUCCCUCGGCUUAACCGGGGAACGACGCAUGAAACUGGCAAGCUAGAGUACCAAAGAGGGGGGUGGAAUUCCCGGUGUAGCGGUGAAAUGCGUAGAUAUUCGCAAGAACACCAGUGGCGAAGGCGGCUCACUGGCCCGGUACUGACGCUGAGGUGCGAAAGCGUGGGGAGCAAACAGG